rnacentral:rRNA from 1 species
UACGGAGGGGGCUAGCGUUGCUCGGAAUCACUGGGCGUAAAGGGCGCGUAGGCGGCCGAUCAAGUCAGGGGUGAAAGCCUGUGGCUCAACCACAGAAUUGCCUUUGAUACUGUUUGGCUAGAGACCGGAAGAGGUCAGUGGAACUGCGAGUGUAGAGGUGAAAUUCGUAGAUAUUCGCAAGAACACCAGUGGCGAAGGCGGCUGACUGGUCCGGUUCUGACGCUGAGGCGCGAAAGCGUGGGGAGCAAACAGG